UGUUAAAAAAUUCGAUCAUUUGUACUGUUAAAAUCUAACGCGGCUGAUAGAAUAACUAAACAAUGACAUGUAACAUGUCAUGUGUACAUUAUACUAAUGUACAAUGAUUAAUUUUUAACAGUAGAAAUGAAUAAGAUUUUUAACA
rfam:Gossypium hirsutum cultivar TM-1 unplaced genomic scaffold scaffold72.1, whole genome shotgun sequence